UCCUGAUACUGUUGAAGCAGAGCUCUACAGAAUUCAUUCAGAUCUUGAUUUCUCCAACUGUGACAUGGUAUGUCAAUUCUAGAAACAAUAACAAAGUUGUUUCUUAUAUCUUUUUUUUGGUGGUAUGAUAUUUGUUUUUCUUAAACAAUUUGCAGUUCUUCUUCCCAGCAUGUAUGGAUUAUGGUUGGUGUGUUCUAUGUGUUGAUGUAUUAUCGAAGACUAUUAUUUUUUAUGAUCCAUCUGGAGAAUAUACAGUAGAGCAAAAGAAUUCAUUCAUCAAUGGAAUGGUACUCUUUGAACUUCUAAUGAUGUUUAUUGUACUAUAGUUUACUUUUUUCGUAUUUUAUUUUAUAUUUGUUAUUUGAUUUUAGGUUGCUAAAUUUGAACAUCAUUGUAAAGCUGCUGAUAUUCUUGCUACACAAUUUUCAACUUUCAACAUCAUCCAUCCAGAUCUGCCAAUACCAAGUAAAAGGACGUAAGAAAGCUAACAAAUAUUUUGUACUUCAAAAUUUUUUACUUAAUCAUUGUUUUCUAAAAAUUUUAUUUCAGUCA
rnacentral:lncRNA from 1 species